rnacentral:rRNA from 1 species
AUGAACGCUAGCGGCAGGCUUAAUACAUGCAAGUCGAGGGGCAGUCCCGCCUUCGGGCGGGAGCGACCGGCAAACGGGUGCGGAACACGUACAGAACCUUCCUUCGAGCGGGGAAUAGCCCAGAGAAAUUUGGAUUAAUACCCCAUAGCAUUAUGGAGUGGCAUCACUUUAUAAUUAAAGAUUUAUCACUUGAAGAUGGCUGUGCGGCUGAUUAGAUAGUUGGUGAGGAACGGCUCACCAAGUCUACGAUCAGUAACUGGUGUGAGAGCACGACCAGUCACACGGGCACUGAGACACGGGCCCGACUCCUACGGGAGGCAGCAGUAAGGAAUAUUGGUCAAUGGACGCAAGUCUGAACCAGCCAUGCCGCGUGGAGGAUGAAGGUCCUCUGGAUUGUAAACUUCUUUUAUAUGGGACGAAAAAGGCUUUUCUAAGUCGUCUGACGGUACCAUAUGAAUAAG